AUUUAUCUCAUAGAUAUUCUAGUAUAUACUCAAAUAAUGUUCACAGCAAUACUGUUUGCAAUAGAUAAUAUCUGGAAAUAAGUCAAAUUUCCGACAAUGAGUGACAUAUUGAAUAAAUUCUGCCAUUAGAAAGGAAUAAUUUAUAUAUUAAUCUGCAAAAUAUGUUAAAUGAAAAAGCAAAAGUUCAAACACUGUCUAUAUAGUAGACCCUCAUUUCUCUAGAAAUAGAUAACAGUUGUGUAGUAGACAUGACUGUGUUCACUAACAGCUAGUUCUCUCCCUGGACAUACAGAAGAUUAUAGUUCCCAUACUUCUUGCAGUUAACUGAAGCCAGGAAACUAGGUCUGGCAAAUACAAUGAGUGCGACUGACUUUUGAGCUGACAAAAACGAAAAGCCCUUUUUAAAUUCUGCCAGUAUGCAUGCACAGGGUCUUGUGUUGAAAAUGUAGAGCCACAGGGUAAAAGCAGCUUGAAUGGCUGACUCAUAUACAAGGACAACUGGCUGACAGUCACCAGGACUAUCAAGAAGUUUGCAGAAACAAGAAAUAAACUUUUACUGUUUUAAACUGUUGUGAAUUUUGGGUUUUGUUUCCCACCAAGUAAACCUAGUCUAUUCUGAUUGUUGUAAGUGGUCAAUUUGGGAAGUCAAAUAUAUUUAAAAUUGGCUUACUGCUGUAACAUAUACAGUCCAAAUUACAUAAUGGCUCCAAUUCAAUAGAAGUCUCUUUUUGCUCACAUAUCGCUUCGUUGAGAUUCUACAUUAAUUGUAAUGAUGAGGGUGGGGGUGUCUUAUGUCGUACAGUUGUCACCCAGGAUGACCGACUUUGUAACAUUUUUUCCCACUGACUUCCAAAGUUCUCAUAGAUAGCAAAAUUCAUUUGGAAGAAGGAGAAGGAGCAUGGAGAAUUGCAGAUGGAGAUUUUUAUGGGAAGGCUUGGAGGUUGCACAUUACUACUUUUACUUGUUGGCUAGGAAUCUAUCACGUGGUGACACCUAAGCGCCAGUGAGUCUGACAAUGCGGCAAUUUGGUUGCGUGCCAUGGUAAGAGGCAAAAAAUUUUGCUCGAUAGUUACCAGUUUUUGCCACAGAUGAAGGGAUUUUUCAUUGUAUAAUUAGUUAUUAUUGUUUGAAUUUAAAAGAGGAAAAUAUCAUUUUCAAAUAAAAAUGCAAAAGUGGCACAAAAAAUUCUUUUUUUUUUUUGCUUUACUUUUGUGCAUUUAUUUGGCUAUUAUUAAAGUAAAUAAUGCUCUUUACAGAAAAUGUGGAAAGUAACACAAAAGAAAAAUAAGCAGAAAAAGUCAUCCCAUAACCCCCAUGAUUCCAGCAUAAUAAUCUUUCUUAAGGUAACUGAAAUGACCAUCCUUCUUUUACAAUUGCAAAUGCUAACCCCCAGGGAUUUUAAGAAAUUUGUCAGCUCUAGUAAGCGGUAGAGCACAGAGAAAAGAAAAGCCAGGGAAGCUUUUAGAGAGCAGGAGGCAAGAAAGAAAAUGACUUAUGAAUGUGGAAACGCAAUUGACAAAUGAUUUUAAAAUUUUGCAGGUUUAAUUGCACGGAGAGAGGGAGCAUAGAACAGGAGAAAUAUACCACAGCAACAGAGAGACAGACUCUUGCUCUGUCACCCAAGUUGGAGUGCAGUGGUGCAUCAUAAUUCCACAACCUCAAAUUACUCAGCUCAGAAGAUCCUCCUGCCUCAGCCUCCUGAAUACCUAGUACUCCAGCAUUUUAAAUCUGUUGCUCCACUGUCAUCUGGCCUUAAUGGUUUCUGAUGUCACAUCCACCAUCAUUGUUCCACCAUAUGUAAAGUAUUAAUUUCUAGGUGUUUUUAAGAUUUUCUUGUUCCUUUUGUCUUUCAGCAGUUUUACUGUGAGGUACCUAUACCUGUGUAGAUGCUUCUUUCAAAUGUGCCCUAUUUGGAGUUUGCUGCCCUUUAGUAAUCUAUAAAUGUAGGCCUUUCACCAGAUUUGGAAAGUUUUGGUCAUCAUUUCUUCAAAUAUUUUUUGUCUCAAACUUUUUCCUUUAUUUCUAGGACUCCAAUUACCUAAUUAAGGUGUUAGACCUUUUGAAAUGUUCCACUGUUCUC